rnacentral:rRNA from 1 species
GGACUGGCGGUUGUCCGGAAUUAUUGGGCGUAAGGGCUCGCAGGCGGUUUCUUAAGUCUGAUGUGAAAGCCCCCGGCUCAACCGGGGAGGGUCAUUGGAAACUGGGGAACUUGAGUGCAGAAGAGGAGAGUGGAAUUCCACGUGUAGCGGUGAAAUGCGUAGAGAUGUGGAGGAACACCAGUGGCGAAGGCGACUCUCUGGUCUGUAACUGACGCUGAGGAGCGAAAGCGUGGGGAGCGAACAGGAUUAGAUACCCUGGUAGUCC